CAGAACCAGUGAAACCCUGGGUUCGCUGAAGCGGAGCGUGCGAACUUAACCACUCGGCCACAAGACCAGCCCCUGCCAUUGGUCUUCCUACAUCCCUAAGACUGUAAUAGUCUCUCCAGGCCUCCUCUCUCCCUUAAAGUCAAAGGCCAUCAUCUUCAAAGGCCAAUUCAGUUACGUCCCUAGUCGAUUUCUUGGAAGUGUCUUUACCUAAAUGGGAGACAUUCUUCCUUCUCUUUGGUCUACAACAUUGACUGAAAGAACAGAAGCUGUGCUAGAAAGUAAAGUGACAGUUCAGGUGACAGCACAGAAGGAACCCCAGAACCCUCUAAGUGUUCCUUUGUCCCAGAAUUCUCAUGACAGAAAAAAGAGAGUGGAGAGAAUAACAAUUACUAAAACUUAUUGAGGCCUGACUGUGUGCCAGCAUUGUUCACAGCGCCUCCAUUUAAUCCUCACAGUAACUCUUGGAUUUGGAGCUCUGAAGACAACCCUUUGAAGCCCUGUGGCUCCUGGGACAGCGCCCCUCCUAUAGAUGCCGACACUCAAGUAGGAUGGCAAAGGGACCCUUGAUAAGCAAGGACAUGGCGUUUAAACCCAUGGCUGCUUCAGUCUUCUCCUGAGUGUAUUUCGUUCAGCUGUGUCCCUAGCUGGCGGUCUUCAUUUCACUGAGUGACCCCGGUCGACUAAUGACCUCAGACAAAGACUGGCAAACAAGUCGGAACAUCCUUCAGGACUUCUCUUCACAUUCUUUUCCCUGGUCCCUCAAAAUCACUUUCCCUAGGCUUCUCCUUCCUGUUCUUCAUUGCUUUUCAAUCCUAAUGGUUUCCAGCUGUGUAACUUCCACUCAGGUGCAGUUACAUACGCUUUGAACAUGGAAGAAGACAGUUAAUCUGAAAUUAAAAAGAAAAACCUAA